GAUGAACGCUGGCGGCGUGCCUAAUACAUGCAAGUCGAGCGAACAGACGAGGAGCUUGCUCCUCUGACGUUAGCGGCGGACGUGUGAGUAACACGAGGAUCACCUACUUAUCUUUCGGGUAUAUCUACGGAACUCCGGAUCUAAUCCCGUAUAAUCUCUUGAACCGCAGGGGUCAAUAGUGAAAUUCGGCUUUUGUGUCACUACUCGCUGCAUCCGCGCCGCAUUAGCUAGUUGGUAAGGUCACGGCUUACCAAGGCAACGAUGCGUAGCCGACCUGACGGGGUGAUCGGCCACACUGGAGCUGAGACGCGGUCCAGACUCCUACGGGAGGCAGCAGUAGGGAACGUUCCGCAGUGGGCGAGAGCCUGACGGAGCAACGCGGAGCGAGUGAUGAAGGUCUUCGGAUCGUAAUACUCUGUUAUGAGGGAAGAACAACUGUGUAAGUAACUAUGCACUUCUUGACGGUAACUAAUCAGAAAGCAACGGCUAACUACGUG
rnacentral:rRNA from 1 species